AGUGAACGCUGGCGGUAGGCCUAACACAUGCAAGUCGAACGGCAGCACAGUAAGAGCUUGCUCUUACGGGUGGCGAGUGGCGGACGGGUGAGGAAAUACAUCGGAAUCUACUUUUUCGUGGGGGAUAACGUAGGGAAACUUACGCUAAUACCGCAUACGACCUACGGGUGAAAGCAGGGGAUCUUCGGACCUUGCGCGAUUGAAUGAGCCGAUGUCGGAUUAGCUAGUUGGCGGGGUAAAGGCCCACCAAGGCGACGAUCCGUAGCUGGUCUGAGAGGAUGAUCAGCCACACUGGAACUGAGACACGGUCCAGACUCCUACGGGAGGCAGUAGUGGGGAAUAUUGGACAAUGGGCGCAAGCCUGAUCCAGCCAUACCGCGUGGGUGAAGAAGGCCUUCGGGUUGUAAAGCCCUUUUGUUGGGAAAGAAAAGCAGCAGGUUAAUACCCCGCUGUUCUGACGGUACCCAAAGAAUAAGCACCGGCUAACUUCGUG
rnacentral:rRNA from 1 species